GCCGAGUCGAGGAAGGCGAGGCGAGUCGCGUCGUAUCGAAACGUGUCGUUCGCGGUCCCACCCGCCGGCCCGAUGUCACCUGGCACUACCUUGUUGGCUUACCUGAUGGUCAGGAUCUAGAACACGGUGACUAAGGAGUUCAAGUGCACUUACGUCAUGAAGAACCCCAAGCUGACUCGAUGCCUGUGUGUUAGACGUCAGUGCUUUGGACAGUAAGGGGACGGUUUAGGAUCUACUCUGUUGGAUAUUUAAAUUAUAGCGUAUAAGAUGUGCACGGUGUACAUCGCGACGUUGCCAAGACACUAGCGUAUACUAAAGACGUUAACCCCGGAGGUCUUAUUAAACAAGUAUUCCAUCACCACACCGGCUUUCACCCUCCUACUGCCAGCGUGCUGCGUCUUCAGAAAUCAGCCACGUGGAGGUGCUUCAGAUUCAGAUCAGGUUUCUGAGACGUUAGAUUCAGACGUGACUCGGUAUCUUUCCUAAAUGCGAAGACAUCAAUCGAGAACAUUCUGCCUGAAGCCGUCUUGUUUUUAUGUAGUCCUAGCCAAGUGCGUCAUUUUCCUUGGCUGUUGAGUCGAUAAAGUAGGACGUUAACCCAUUUUAGCUAAGCUAGUGGGUUGGUCUGGGUUCUGUUAACUAGCAAGUUGCUUCGGUCCACACGCGAGGAUUAAAUCGAUUUUAAAUCCAAUCGCUCAAAACCCUUUCAGAAGGAGCGGGAGAUUACACUUUACAGGUUAGAGGUCGGCCGAUUAAUCACACCGUAACGAUUGCUGGAGCUGCGGGGGAAGGCGUGGGUGCGGCUGAGAAGGGUCCGCCGUCAUCAUACAGUACGAGAGCGGCCUCCAGAGGCCGAAUAAAAAGCAUCGCUGACUCAUUUUUGGUGUGUUGUUUGAAGUGUUUUUGAUUCAUUUCGGACGUCUCUAUUUUUAUUUGUCAUUUGGAGUGUUACGCAUCCAAACCGAACCAAAAAGUAUCUUUUAUUUAUUUGAACAUUUCUUAACAGUUAAUAUAUAUUAAUGUUUAAAACAGUACUGUUUAUUUUUGUAAUAAAGUUCAGUAAUAUUUUGCUUUGUGCGAUAUGUUUUCAUUCAGUAUCAAUUUUAUUAGCUAUCGGUUGAUUAAUCGGUCACCGGCAGGUAGGUCCCGCCCGACUCGGUCACCUGUAUCAGUAACGUAGUCAGUGGCUCCGCCUCUACUACAAGUGUCAACAAAGACCAAAGUUGUGUCUUAAAAAAAAAAAAUUCAAAAAUUGAUAAAACGUAACUCUUGGAGUUUGACGCUUGUGGGCGUGGCCUGGUGUAUGAAUGUAUGUAACGAUGUAUGAAUCAAUAUAAAAUUCAUAAACAACAUGACGGUCUUACUUUUUGUUUAGAUUUAAAAAAAAAAAAUUCUCGCUAAACUCAAGAUGGCGCUUCUUUCCGUUUUUGAGGUAGGAACUCGGGGAACUUUUAAGAAAGAGUUGCGUUUUUCUUGGUGAAAAAGGACAACUGGCUGUAGGGUUGGGCCAAGGAGUUCACCAGUGUGGACAAAAGUAAUGGCGCCCUAAAAUCGCAGUGUCUGAGCUGGAAGAUUUAGCACACGGCAUGUUUAGGAGGUCCUCUUUCACCUUUUAGUCACCGCUUUUGCCCUUUUUGUGGGCGUGGCUAAAUGUAAAUGAUUGAAUUUACGGCCGAUGGGCGUACGCAGGUGAUUACUCAGCUUCGGUAUUUUGGGACUGUUUCCCCCGCGGUGGUUCGGAGACGUCCGAGUGGUUUGUUUUCCUGCAGAAAGCCUUAUCUGGUGAAGUAUUUCGGCGAUAUCAUCUGCUGUGCUUGUAAAAGCUCUGCUGAUGCUGAACUGUUCUCUCCGAAGAGGUUGCGUAACAUCUUUCAACCUUAAACUAUGACUGUUGUGACAUUGUACAAAAAAUCAUGACCCAUUUUACAUUCAAACUCGGAUCGAAUACAUCAGACCCGAGCUUAGUGAAGUUGAAUCCGGUUCGGUCCUGGGCGACGGUUCCGUUAUUAACGCGUCUGUUGAACACGGCUCACGUCGCCGUUCAUUCCCUGGCGUGUUUAUUAAACCUGUUCAUAUUUACAUCAUGAAAAAAACCACGAUGAAACCGUUCUUAAAAUGUUGCUGCCGAAGGUUUUCCUCGAGGAUAGACGCGAGAUAACGCGGCAGAGAAAGAGCUGGAACGCGUGCCUUUUCUUCUUCAUCUUCUCCUCUUCUUCUUCUUUUUUUUACAUUUUAAUUUUUAUUCUCACCACCAUAGCGACUCCCGCUAAAAUUUCUCACAGUGCUUUGCAUCCAGCUGUUCCUGGAUGUGUGAAGCGCCGUCGCCAUGGUAACGCGCUCCCGCAUGCUGGCUCAAGGUCGUUCGUUCCAGAAACGCUCCGAACCUGCGGCACGCUCCCACACACACACACACACACACACACACACACACACACACAGCGCGCCUAGAUGGUAGACAGGGAGACAGACAUAGAGGCGGAUAGAGGAAGCGAGAGAUCACCAGUGACGGGUGGAGAAAGAAAGAAAGGAAAGAAAGAAAUGAUGUCAGGUCCAAGCAGUGAAGUGAUUCUGUAUACACACUCUGAACCCUCUCUCUCUCUCUCUCUCUCUCUCUCUCUCUGUCUGUCUUUCUCUCUCUAUCUCUGUCUGUCUCUCUGUCUGUCUGCAUUUCUCUCUCUGUCUGUCUCUCUCUCUCUGUCUGUCUGUCUCUCUGUCUGUCUCUCUGUCUGUCUGUCUUUCUCUCUCUAUCUCUCUGUCUGUCUGUCUUUCUUUCUCUCUCUGUCUGUCUCUCUCUCUCUCUGUCUGUCUCUCUCUCUCUAUCUCUGUCUGUCUGUCUGUCUUUCUCUCUCUGUCUCUUUCUCUCUCUGUCUGUCUGUCUGUCUUUCUCUCUCUGUCUGUCUCUCUCACUCUCUGUGUCUCUGUCUGUCUGUCUCUCUCACUCUG
ensembl:lncRNA